UACGUAGGGGGCGAGCGUUGUCCGGAUUUAUUGGGCGUAAAGAGCGUGUAGGCGGCCAGGUAGGUCUGCUGUGAAAACUCGAGGCUCAACCUCGAGACGUCGGCGGAAACCAUCUGGCUAGAGUCCGGAAGAGGAGAGUGGAAUUCCUGGUGUAGCGGUGAAAUGCGCAGAUAUCAGGAAGAACACCCGUGGCGAAGGCGGCUCUCUGGGACGGUACUGACGCUGAGACGCGAAA
rnacentral:rRNA from 1 species